rnacentral:rRNA from 1 species
ACUAUAGAAUACUCAAGCUAUGCAUCCAACGCGUUGGGAGCUCUCCCAUAUGGUCGACCUGCAGGCGGCCGCGAAUUCACUAGUGAUUGGCUCAGAUUGAACGCUGGCGGCAUGCCUUACACAUGCAAGUCGAACGCGAAAGGGGGGCAACUCCUGAGUAGAGUGGCGCACGGGUGAGUAAUGCAUCGGAACGUGUCCUGUAGCGGGGGAUAACCUAGCGAAAGCUAGGCUAAUACCGCAUACGUCCUACGGGAGAAAGUGGGGGAUCGUAAGACCUCACGCUAUAGGAGCGGCCGAUGCCGGAUUAGCUAGUUGGUGGGGUAAAAGCUCACCAAGGCGACGAUCCGUAGCUGGUCUGAGAGGAUGAUCAGCCACACUGGGACUGAGACACGGCCCAGACUCCUACGGGAGGCAGCAGUGGGGAAUUUUGGACAAUGGGGGAAACCCUGAUCCAGCCAUGCCGCGUGAGUGAAGAAGGCCUUCGGGUUGUAAAGCUCUUUCGGCCGGGACGAAAU